UGUUUGUUUGCCCUUUACCGACCGACCCUAUAAAUUCGUUCCGCCUGAAAAUCUUUUAUUUGUAUUUAUCGGCAAGAUUUAUUUUUAUUUUAUUUUUUCGUUCCUACCAAAAAUCUUAUAUUUGUAUUUCCCGCUCAAAACUUUUUUUACCGGAAUCCUCGGGUUUUACCUUUAUCGUAUAACGUCUAGUCCGUUUGGUAUCACGUGAGCGUUUGACAUGAACACUUGCAUUUAGAGUUUCAAAGCAUUUGUUUGAAAUCG
rnacentral:lncRNA from 1 species